AUGAGUUUUCCCUGUAGACU
rnacentral:miRNA from 1 species